CUGCCUCUCUAGGUUCCCGCAACUGUCAGUGCAGUGCCGUUGAUAUCACCACCACAUGUCACACAGCAGGUCGGCUUGUGACUGGCAUAAAGGUGCAUUGGGAACGGAGCGCAUCGCUCCCUGUUCCUCCCAGUGAUAUACCACACUGACUGGGCUUUUGAGGAACCCCGCUGCUGCUUGGACCAUUCACUCCACUGGUCCGACGGGUCAGCCGCUGGCAGCGGCUUCUCCUCUGCCGCCUCCCUUGUUGCCGACCAUGUGAGUGCAUAAGCGCUCCUGGGACUUGGAGGUCUGUUGGGGCUCGUGACCAUCUACCCCUCCCUGGCUACCUGAAACAGUGACUGACUGGUGCACAAGUUUCACUUGUUUGUGUUUCUUUUAUUUUUUGAUUUGGUUUUCACAAUGUAUACCUGCAUGUGGGUGGGGUAUUUUUAUUCUGUUUUGGUUUUUGUUGAGUACCAGCUCUGUUUGCACAUGGGCUUGAGGCCCCUAGUGUCUUUAUUCUGUUUUUUUGUUCUGUCUUUUAAACCUAUUUAUAAUCUUUUAAAUUUGGAACCACGUCUCCAUCUGGUUGAGUUCCCAUUUUUAUUAGUGUGCCUGAACCGCUUGUGUUGCCACAAUAACCUAAGCCAAGCGGAGCCAAGCCAAAACUCAUCAAGCCAAGCCAAGCCACAUUAAGCUAAGCAAAGCCAAGCCACUUUACGCCAGGAUGUCAGAGUCAUUAGGGGGUGUGAAACAAGAGAGGGGGUUUGGCUUGAGAUCACGUCAUCCUGGGCAGAAGGAAACAGAGUGAAAUCAAACUGACUGAAAAAUUAGGCCUAACAAGCUUGACGUGGGUUGAGUAUUUUGGCAGCACACAGAUACUCCUUGUGAUCUGUCCAAACUAAAAAGGAAUGUUCAGCCCAUCCAA